CCAAAAAAGUUAAGGGGUUAACCUUUCAGUACCCACGUUCUUUUUAGUGUCUCACUUGCACUGCAGCGACAUCCUAUAAGUUGAAUGUUGUUGCGUGAGAA